rnacentral:rRNA from 1 species
UACGUAGGGUGCGAGCGUUUGUCCGGAAUUAUUGGGCGUAAAGGGCUCGUAGGCGGUCUGUCACGUCGAAAGUGAAAACUCAAGGGCUUAACCCUGAGCCUGCUUCCGAUACGGGCAGACUAGAGGUAUGCAGGGGAGAAUGGAAUUCCUGGUGUAGCGGUGAAAUGCGCAGAUAUCAGGAGGAACACCGGUGGCGAAGGCGGUUCUCUGGGCAUUACCUGACGCUGAGGAGCGAAAGCGUGGGGAGCAAACAGG